rnacentral:rRNA from 1 species
AUGAAGCGCGACAGGAGGUCGUCGUGCGGCGUGGACCCGUCGCUCUUGCCGGCGAGCUCGAGCUUGCGCGUCUUGAUGACGGCGGAGAGGUAGCGGUCGACGUGCGCGACGCUGCGCGCCAGCGUGGUCUCCAUGCCGAGCCCCAGCCACUUCUUGCACCGCCACACGCACUCCGGGAAGAUGAAGCGGUUGAGCGUGGCCUCGGUGGCGCUGUCGAAGGAGGUGGCGAAGGCGUUCUCGGGGAGGCCGCGGGCGAGCGUCUCCGGGUCCUUGCCGAAGGCGAGGCCGCAGAUGUUGUCGAAGGUGAGGCGGAGGAGGAGGUCCUGCAGGUCGACGUGCGCGCCGGAGGCCGCCGCGUCGGACAGGAUGGGGAGCAUGCGGUGGUGGAUGGAGCGGGAGACCCAGCGGGACAUGGCGGUGCGGAGCGUGCGCGUGGUGAACUCGAGCGCGGCCGUCUUGCGCUGCGCGACCCAGGUGUCGCCGUCGGAGUUGAAGAUGCCGUCGCCGAGCAGGUCGCUGAAGACGCCGUGCCAGAAGGGGCCCUUGGGGUAG